AACGAGGCCGACCUGCGGCUGAGUUACCUGCGGAAGGAUCAUUACCGAGUUUACAACUCCCAAACCCCUGUGAACAUACCAAUUGUUGCCUCGGCGGAUCAGCCCGCUCCCGGUAAAACGGGACGGCCCGCCAGAGGACCCCUAAACUCUGUUUCUAUAUGUAACUUCUGAGUAAAACCAUAAAUAAAUCAAAACUUUCAACAACGGAUCU
rnacentral:misc_RNA from 1 species